rnacentral:ncRNA from 1 species
UAAAACACAAUGAGAAAGAAAGUAAAAAUAAUGCCUUCUCCAACAGAGAGUCCUGACAGCUGAAAAAGGACGAGAUAUGCUUAUUUUGAAAAUGGCUUUUGAGUGGAUCUUCUGAAUGAUUUAAGAAGGUACGGUUUGUUCCGUUAAUGAACACUAGUCUCCAACCUUGCGUUGGGUACUGAAUGAGGCAGCAAUUGUGAAACGGCUGCGAAAUAAGGUGGUAACACAUAUCUAUAUGUCCUUAGA